rnacentral:lncRNA from 10 species
UACUGGGCUGACCCUGGAAGGCCAGUCUUGUUUGUCCCCUGCCUCCUGGGUUCCGCCAGAGAGAAGCAGUGGAGUAAACUGCACAGACACAGAGAAAACCAGUCAUGGAGGCCAAGAGCUAGAGAGCCUUGAGUGGACGUGGUUAAUCUCACUUGGUUCUCCCAAGAGCCCUGGGAGGGGGGCAAUAUCAUCAUCAUCAUCUGACAAAUGAAGUGACCGGCCUGGGAGACUGUGCUCUCCUGCUUAGCUCCAACAGACAGAAGCAGAGCUCAGGAAGGUGGAUGAGGCCAUCGCCCUAUUCCAGAAGAUGCUGUGAUCCACCACCCAGCUUCACCCCUCACCCCCAGCGGCUCACCAUGGGGAUGGCAGCAAUAAAAUAUUUUCCCACAAAA